rnacentral:rRNA from 1 species
UCAAGUCCGGGCCAGCAGCGGAGGUAAUAGGUAGGGUGCAAGCGAUAAUCGGAAUAAGCGUGCGUAAAGAGCACGCGGGCGGUUAGAUAAGUCAGAUGUGAAAUCCCCGGGCUCAACCUGGGAACUGCAUGUGAAACUGUCUGACUAGAGUCGUGUAGAGGGGGGUAGAAUUCCAGGUGUAGCGGUGAAAUGCGUAGAGAUCUGGAGGAAUACCGGUGGCGAAGGCGGCCCCCUGGACAAAGACUGACGCUCAGGUGCGAAAGCGUGGGGAGCAAACAGGAUUAGAUACCCGGGUAGUC